CCUCUGAUGGACAAAAACCUAAAUCAGGGAAAAUAUUAUUAUUUAAAGCUCUUCCCAGGAAGACACAUCAGAAUUAAAGGAACCUAAUGGUAUAGAGGGUAUUUAAAAUAAAACUUUGUAAAACGAAGUAAGGUUGUACAGAAAAACCAUCUAAGUAUUCGUCUGUUAUCCAUUUGUUUCAAAUAUGUAGAAAAAUAUAACAAAACUCCAAAUCAGCCAUAGCUUAAAAUUACCUGAAAUAUUUAUUAGCAAAGAACAAGAAAGGUAAAUGCUAUUCAGGAUUUUACAUAAUAAUAUUUUAUGGCCUGGGAUUUGCCAUCAGAAGUUAGAGAUGUAUCAAAUUCCUUUCCAAAAUUUAAUUAAUGGUUAAAAGAGAGUACUUAGCAUAGUUGAUCAGGAAUUUCAAAACUGGCAUGAUUUCUUUUUUUUUCAUCUUUUUAGGGCUGCUCCUGCAGCAUAUGAAAGUUCCCAGGCUAGGGGUCAAAUUGGAGCUGUAGCCUCUGGCCUAUGCUACAGCCACAGUAGUGCAGGAUUCGAGCCAUAUCUGCCACCUAUACCACAGCUCACUGCAAUGCCGGAUCCUUAACCCACUGAGUGGGACCAGAGAUCAAACCUGUGUCCUCAUGGCUACUAGUUGGGCUCGUUACCACUGAGCCACAUGGGAACUCUAUUUUUUUUUCUUUUCUGGCAUGAUUUCUGAACAAAUCUGGUGUAUAUCAAUUGACUAGAAACAUCAAUAUCAACUACACAAUAGAGACUCUUCUUGUCCAGUGAUCCAUGUUAUAUCAACUCCAGUAAGAGGUUAUGGCAGGUAAUGAAUGAUACAGUAUCUUAGAAAGUCAUUGCUACUGUUCUAAAAAUUCUAUUCAGCCAAAAUAACUGGACAAAUGUUCAGCAUAAAUAAUCAGUAGCAAUUUUCAUUUUCUUAAAAUUCUGCUCUAAGUAUAGCUCAACUGGAAGAGAAAAUGCAAUAGUUAAAGCAGAAUCGUGUACAAGGAAGAUGGAGAUAAAUGCCUUGAAUGAAAUAGAUGUGCACAGGACUGCUCAGGGCCCCCAUAGAUAGUGUUCACAUAAGUGGUGUCAUCUGGAGCUGGGUGUCCUGACACUACCAGUGUGGUGGUAAAUCAAGAAGUUAAUAGUUAAGCUUAAUAUUUACUUAUUUGCCUCAUAUAUUGUUUUCAUUUUUUAAAAUUUUAUUGGAGUGUAGUUACUUUACAAUGUGUUAGUUUCUGGUAUACAGCAAAGUGAAUAGGUUGUACAUAUACAAAUAUCAAUUCCUUUUCAGAUUCUUUUUCCAUAUAGGUUAUUACAUAAUAUUGAGUAGAUUUCCCUGUGCUAUACAGUAGGUCCUUGUAACUUCUCUGUCUUAUAUAUAGUAGUGUGUAUCCGUUAAUCCCAACCUCCUAAUUUGUCCCUCCCUCCAAUGUUUCACCUUUAGGAACCAUAAAUUUGGUUUCAAAAUCUUUGAGUUUGUUUCUAUUUUGUGAAUAAGUUCUUUUGUAUCAUUUUAUUAGAUUCCACAUAUUAGUGAUUUCAUAGGAUAUUUGUUUUUGUCUAACUUACUUCUCUUAGUAUGAGAAUCUCUAGUUCCAUCCAUGUUGCUGCAAAUGGCAUUAUUUCAUUCUUUUUUUCUGGCUGAGUAGUAGUCCAUUGUAUAUGUGUACCACAUCUUCUUUAUCCAUUCCUCUGUUGAUGGAUAUUUAGGUUGCUUCCAUUUCUUGGCUAUUGUAAAUAGUGUUUCAAUAAACAUUGGGGUGCGUGCAUCUUUUUGAAAUAUGGGUUUCUCCAGAUGUGUGCCCAGGGGGAUUGCUGGAUCUUAUGGUAGUUCUUCAUUUAUUUAUUUAAUAUAAUGAUUUUUAUUUUUUCCAUUAUAGCUGGUUUACAGUGUUCUGUCAAUCUUCCACUGUACAGCAUGGUGACCCAGUUAUACAUACAUGUAUACAUUCUACAUUUUUUUUUUAAUAAACCUCCCUGCUGUUCUCCAAAGUAGUUGUACUAUUUACAUUCCCACUAACAGUGUAGGAGGGUUCCUGUUUCUCCAUGCCCUCUCCAGCACUUACUGUUUGUAGACUUUUAGAAGAUGGCCAUUCUGAUUGAGGUGAUAUCUCAUUGUAGUUUUGACUUGCAUUUCUUUUUUUAAAAUUAUAGGUGAUUUACAAUGUUCUGCCAAUUUCUGCUGUACAGCAAAGUGACCCAGUUCUACAUAUAUAUACAUUCUUUUUCUCACAUUAUCCUCCAUCCGUUCCAUCACAAGUGAUUGGAUAUAGUUCCCUGUGCUAUAGAGUAGAAUCUCAUUGCUUAUCCACUCCAAAUGCAAUGGUUUGCAUCUACUAACCCUAGACUCCCAAUCCAUCGCACUCCCUCCUCCUCCCCCCAGUUAAACACAAGUCUGUCUUCCUUGUCCAAGAUCUGUUUCUAUUUGUAGAAUGGGAGGUGGGUCAAACAAGAUGUUGCUGUGAUUUAUGUCAAAGAGCAUUCAUUCUGCCUAUGUUUUCCUCUAGGAGUUUUUUGUUUGUUUUUGCUUUUUAGGGCCACACCCAUGGCGUAUGGAAGUUCCCAGGCUAGAAGUCAAAUUGGAGCUGCAGCUGCUGGCCUAUGCCACAGCCACAGCAACCUGGGCUCCAGGCUGCAUCUGCAACCUGCACCACAGCUGACAGCAAUGCUGGAUCCUUAACCCACUGAGUAAGGCCAGGGAUCGAACCUGCAUCCUCAUGGGUACUGGUUGGAUUGUUUUCUGCUGAGCCACGACAGGAACUCCCUAGGAGUUUUAAGGCAUCUUGCCUUAUAUUUAGGUCUUUAAUCCAUUUUGAGUUUAUUUUUGUGUAUGGCAUUAGAAAAUAUUCUAAUUUCAUUCUCUUACAUGUGGUUGUCCAGUUUUCCUAGUACCAUUUUUUAAAGAGACUUUCUUUCCUCCACUGUAUGUUCUUGCCUCCUUUAUCAUAGAUUAGUUGACCAUAGGUGCUUGGGUUUAUUUCUGGGCUCUCUAUCCUGUUCCAUUGAUCUAUAUUUCUGUUUUUGUGCCACUACCAUGCUGUUUUGAUGACUGUAGCUUUGUAGUAGAGUCUGAAGUCAAGGAGCCUGAUUCCUCCAGUUACAUUUUUUCUUUUCAAUAUUGCUUUGGCUAUUUGAGGUCUUUUGUUUCCAUAAAAAUUUUAAAAUAUUUUGUUUUAGUUCUGUAAAGAAUGUCAUUGAUAAUUUAAUAGGAAUUGCAUUGAAUCUAUAGAUUGCCUUAGGUAGUAUUUUCAUUUUGACUGUAUUGUUUCUUCCAAUCCAAAAGCAAGGUAUAUUUUCCCAUCUAUUUGUGUCUUCUUUGACUUUUUUCAUCAGCGUCUUAUAGUUUUCAGAGUACAAGUCUUUUGUCUCUUUAGGCAGGUGUAUUCCUAGGUAUGUUAUUCUUUUUGAUGUGAUGGUAAGUGGGAUGGUUUCCCUAACUUCUAUUUUUGAUCUUUCGUUAUUAGUAUAAAGAAAUGCAAUUGAUUUCUGUGUAUUAAUUUUGUAUCCUGUGACUUUACCAAAUUCAUUGAUAAGCUCUAAUAGUUUUCUGGUAGUGUCUUUAGAAUUUUCUAGGUAUAGUAUAGUAUCAUGUCAUCUGCAAACAGUGAUGGUUUUACUUCUUUUCCAAUCUGGAUUCUUUUUAUUUCUUUUUCUUCUCUGAUUGCCAUGGCUAGGAGUUCCAAAACUAUGCUGAAUAACAUUGGUGAAGAGUACAUCUUUGCCUUGUUACUGACCUUGGUGGAAAUGCUUUCAGUUUUUCACCAUUCAAAAUGAUGUUAGCUGUGGGUUUGUCAUAAUGGCUUUUAUUAUAUUGAGGUAGUUCCCCUCUAUGCCUGCUCUCUGGAGAGUUUUUAUCAGGAAUGGGUAUUGAUUUUUUUCAGAAGCUUUUUCUGCAUCUAUUGAGAUGAUCAUAUAAUUUUUAUUUUUCAGUUUUUGAUGUGGUGUAUCUCAUUGAUCCAGAUAUUGAAGAAUCCUUGCAUCCCUGGGAUAAAUCCUACUUGGUCAUGAUAUGUGAUCUUUUUAAUAUAUAUUUGUAUGUGGUUUGCUAAUAUUUUGUUGAGGAUUUUGCAUCUAUGUUCAUCAGUGAUAUUGGCCUGUAAUUUUCUUUUUUCGUCGUAUCUUUGUCUGGUUUUGGUAUCAGGGUAAUGAUGGCUUCAUAGAAUGAGCUUGGGAGUGUUCCUUCCUCUGCAGUUUUCUGGAAAAGUUUCAGAAGAAGAGGUGUUAACUCUUCUCUGAAUGUUUGGUAGACCUCAGCUGAGACGCCAUCAGAUCCUGGACUUUUGUUUUUCAGAAGUUUUUAUAUUUAUUUAUUUAUUUAUUGUUUAAUGAUUUUUAUUUUUUCCAUUAUACUUGGUUUACAGUGUUCUUUAAAUUUUCCACUGUACAGCAAAGUGACCCAGUCACACAUUUUUACACAUUCUUUUUCUCACAUUAUCCUCCAUCAUGUUCCAUCACAACUGACUAGAUACAGGGAGUUCUCGUCGUGGCUCAGUGGUUAACGAAUCUGACUAGGAACCAUGAGAUUGUGGGUUUGAUCCUUGGCCUUGUUCAGUGGAGUGAGGAUCCGGCACUGCCGUGAGCUGUGGUGUAGAUUGCAGACGCGGCUCCGAUCCCGCGUUGCUGUGGCUCUAGUGUAGGUCGGCGGCCACAGCUCCAAUUAGACCUCUAGCCUGGGUACCUCCAUAUGCCGCAGAAGUGGCCCUAGAA
rnacentral:lncRNA from 1 species